rnacentral:rRNA from 1 species
GAAGGGACCUAGCGUAGUUCGGAAUUACUGGGCUUAAAGAGUUCGUAGGUGGUUAAAAAAGUUGGUGGUGAAAUCCCAGAGCUUAACUCUGGAACUGCCAUCAAAACUUUUUAGCUAGAGUAUGAUAGAGGAAAGCAGAAUUUCUAGUGUAGAGGUGAAAUUCGUAGAUAUUAGAAAGAAUACCAAUUGCGAAGGCAGCUUUCUGGAUCAUUACUGACACUGAGGAACGAAAGCAUGGGUAGCGAAGAGGAUUAGAUACCCUCGUAGUCCAUGCCGUAAACGAUGUGUGUUAGACGUUGGAAAUUUAUUUUCAGUGUCGCAGCGAAAGCAAUAAACACACCGCCUGGGGAGUACGACCGCAAGGUUAAAACUCAAAUGAAUUGACGGGGACCCGCACAAGUAGUGGAGCAUGUGGUUUAAUUCGAAGAUACGCGCAGAACCUUACCAACACUUGACAUGUUCGUCGCGACUUUAAGAGAUUAAAGUUUUCGGUUCGGCCGGACGAAACACAGGUGCUGCAUGGCUGUCGUCAGCUCGUGUCGUGAGAUGUUGGGUUAAGUCCCGCAACGAGCGCAACCCUCACUUUUAGUCGCCAUCAUUUAGUUGGGCACUCUGAAAGAACUGCCAGUGAUAAGCUGGAGGAAGGUGGGGAUGACGUCAAGUCCUCAUGGCCCUUAUGUGUUGGGCUACACACGUGCUACAAUGGUAUCUACAACAGGAAGCAAGAUGGCAACAUUUAGCAAAUCCUAAAAAGAUAUCUCAGUUCGGAUUGCACUCUGCAACUCGAGUGCAUGAAGCUGGAAUUACUAGUAAUCGUGGAUCAGCGUGCCACGGUGAAUACGUUCCCGGGUCUU